rnacentral:rRNA from 1 species
AAGCCAUGCCAGUCGUAUGGGAUACCUAAACUUCCCAUGGCAAACUGCUCAGUAACACAUGAUUAACUUACCCUAAAGAAAAUAAUAACCUCGGGAAACUGAGGAUAAUAAUUUAUAGUUGAGAAGGCUUGGGAAAGUUUUUCAAUGAAAUGGAUAAGAAAAAUGGUUCUUAUCUGCUUUAGGAUAGGAUCGUGGUCGAUUAUGGCUGUUGGUGAGGUAACGGCUCACCAAACCUAUAAUCGAUAAGGGCCGUGAGAGCGGGAGCCCUGAGAUGGGUCCUGAGACAAUGACCCAGGCCUUACGAGGCGCAGCAGGCGCGAAACCUCCGCAAUACACGAAAGUGUGACGGGGUUACCCAAAGCGUUCAUUUAUGGACUGUGGUAGGUGAGUAAUGUCCCCUACUAGAAAGGAGAGGGCAAGGCUGGUGCCAGCCGCCGCGGUAAAACCAGCUCUUCAAGUGGUCGGGAUAAUUAUUGGGCUUAAAGUGUCCGUAGCCGGUUUAGUAAGUUCCUGGUAAAAUCGGAUAGCUUAACUAUCUGUAUGCUAGGAAUACUGCUAUACUAGAGGGCGGGAGAGGUCCGAGGUACUACAGGGGUAGGGGUGAAAUCCUAUAAUCCUUGUCGGACCACCAGUGGCGAAGGCGUCAGACUGGAACGCGCCUGACGGUGAGGGACGAAAGCCAGGGGAGCGAACCGGAUUAGAUACCCGGGUAGUCCUGUCCGUAAACGAUG